UACGUAGGUGGCGAGCGUUGUCCGGAUUUACUGGGCGUAAAGAGCGCGCAGGCGGUCGGAUCAGUCGAAUGUGAAAGCCCCCGGCUUAACUGGGGAGGGUCAUUCGAUACUGUUCGACUCGAAGGCAGGAGAGGGAAGUGGAAUUCCCGGUGUAGUGGUGAAAUUCGUAGAUAUCGAGAGGAACACCGGUGGCGAAGGCGGCGAUCUGGACGAUGACUGACGCUGAGACGCGAAAGCGUGGGGAGCAAACAGG
rnacentral:rRNA from 1 species